CAGGCCUAACACAUGCAAGUCGAACGAUGCUUUCGGGCAUAGUGGCGCACGGGUGCGUAACGCGUGGGAAUCUGCCCCUUGGUUCGGAAUAACAGCUAGAAAUGGCUGCUAAUACCGGAUGACGACGUAAGUCCAAAGAUUUAUCGCCGAGGGAUGAGCCCGCGUAGGAUUAGCUGGUUGGUGUGGUAAAGGCGCACCAAGGCGACGAUCCUUAGCUGGUCUGAGAGGAUGAUCAGCCACACUGGGACUGAGACACGGCCCAGACUCCUACGGGAGGCAGCAGUGGGGAAUAUUGGACAAUGGGCGCAAGCCUGAUCCAGCAAUGCCGCGUGAGUGAUGAAGGCCUUAGGGUUGUAAAGCUCUUUUACCCGGGAUGAUAAUGACAGUACCGGGAGAAUAAGCUCCGGCUAACUCCGUGCCAGCAGCCGCGGUAAU
rnacentral:rRNA from 1 species